AGAGUUUGAUCAUGGCUCAGAACGAACGCUGGCGGCGUGCCUAACACAUGCAAGUCGUGGGAGAAAGGGGGCUUCGGCUCCCGAGUAAACCGGCGCACGGGUGAGUAACACGUAGGUAACGUACCUUGGGGUCUGGGAUAACCAGUCGAAAGACUGGCUAAUACCGGAUACGAUCAUCGAAGCGUUGGCUUCGAUGGUGAAAGAUGACCUCUGCUUGCAAGCUGUCGCCCUUGGAUCGGCCUGCGCACCAUUAGCUAGUUGGUGGGGUAACGGCCCACCAAGGCUGAGAUGGUUAGCUGGUCUGAGAGGAUGGCCAGCCACACUGGGACUGAGACACGGCCCAGACUCCUACGGGAGGCAGCAGUGGGGAAUAUUGCGCAAUGGGCGAAAGCCUGACGCAGCGACGCCGCGUGGGUGAUGAAGGCCUUCGGGUCGUAAAGCCCUGUCGGGAGGGAAGAAACGCUCCGACCCAAUACGUCGGUUGUCUGACGGUACCUCCUAAGGAAGCACCGGCUAACUCCGUGCCAGCGGCCGCGGUAAUACGGAGGGCGCAAGCGUUGUUCGGAAUUACUGGGCGUAAAGCGCGUGUAGGCGGUCUGGUAAGUCGGAUGUGAAAUCCCCGGGCUCAACCCGGGAACUGCAUCCGAAACUGCUGGGCUAGAGUCCCGGAGAGGAAGGCAGAAUUCCCA
rnacentral:rRNA from 1 species